AUUGAACGCUGGCGGCAGGCCUAACACAUGCAAGUCGAGCGGCAGCGGGACCUUCGGGUUGCCGGCGAGCGGCGGACGGGUGAGUAAUGCCUAGGAAUCUGCCUGUUAGUGGGGGAUAACGCGGGGAAACUCGCGCUAAUACCGCAUACGUCCUACGGGAGAAAACGGGGGCUCUUCGGACCUCGCGCUAACAGAUGAGCCUAGGUCGGAUUAGCUAGUUGGUGGGGUAAUGGCUCACCAAGGCGACGAUCCGUAACUGGUCUGAGAGGAUGAUCAGUCACACUGGAACUGAGACACGGUCCAGACUCCUACGGGAGGCAGCAGUGGGGAAUAUUGGACAAUGGGCGAAAGCCUGAUCCAGCCAUGCCGCGUGUGUGAAGAAGGUCUUCGGAUUGUAAAGCACUUUAAGUCGGGAGGAAGGGCUGUAGGUUAAUACCCUGCGGUUUUGACGUUACCGACAGAAUAAGCACCGGCUAACUUCGUGCCAGCAGCCGCCGUAA
rnacentral:rRNA from 1 species